UCAAGCGAACAAGGGCGCAGGGCGAAUGCCUUGGCACUGGGAGCCGAUGAAAGACGUGAUAAGCUGCGAUAAGCUUCGGGGAGCUGCAAAUAAGCAUUGAUCCGGAGAUUUCUGAAUGAGGAAACUCACCUGGGUUCAUACUCAGGUACAAUACACUGAAAUUUAAAAUAGGUGUAUUGAGGGAACCGCCUGAACUGAAACAUCUAAGUAGGGCGAGGAAGAGACAUCAAACGAGAUUCCGUAAGUAGUGGCGAGCGAACGCGGAAGAGGGCAAACCGAGAGUAGAAAUACUUUCGGGGUACGGACUGCUUUUAAGACUCAAUCUGUUAACCGAACGGCAUGGGAAGGCCGGUCAGAGAGUGUGAGAACCACGUAGGUGAAAACGGAGAGAGCUGCGCAGGAUCCAGAGUACGGCCAGACACGUGAAACCUGGUCGGAAUACGGGGGGACCACCCUCCAACCCUAAAUACUACCCAGUGACCGAUAGCGUAUAGUACUGUGAAGGAAAGGUGAAAAGCACCCCGGGAGGGGAGUGAAAAAGAACCUGAAACCCUGUGCCUACAAGCACCUAGAGCGCGUCAAAGCGUGAUAGGGUACUUUUUGUAGAACGGUCCGGCGAGCGAUUGUAUGCAGCAAGGUUAAGGACUUAAGGUCUGGAGCCGAAGCGAAAGCGAGUUUGAAAAGGGCGUUAAGUUGCAUAUAAUGGGCCCGAAACCGGGUGACCUACCCAUGGUCAGGUUGAAGUGGAAGUAAAAUUCCAUGGAGGACCGAACCGACCUCCGUUGAAAAGGCGGCGGAUGAACUGUGGGUAGCGGAGAAAUUCCAAUCGAACCCGGAGAUAGCUGGUUCUCCCCGAAAUAGUUUUAGGACUAGCCUCAAGUUAGAUACCUGGAGGUAAAGCACUGAAUAGCCUAGCGGCCGAGAGGUUAGCGAAGCUUAUCAAACUCAGAAUGCCAGAGUAUUGAUGCUUGGGAGUCAGACAGUGUCAGAUAAAUGUCAUUGUCAAAAGGGAAACAGCCCAGAUCUACAGCUAAGGUCCCAAAGUCAGGUUAAGUGGAAAACGAUGUGAAGAUACGCAGACAACCAGGAUGUUGGCUCAGAAGCAGCCACUCAUUCAAAGAGUGCGUAAUAGCUCACUGGUCGAGCGUCUUUGCGCGGAGAAUUUAACGGGGCUAAACCUGACACCGAAGCUUAGGCAAUGUAGUAAUACAUUGGGUAGGGGAGCGUUGUAUACGCGGAGAAACAGUAGCGCAAGCGGCUGUGGAGUGUAUAGAAGUGAGAAUGCCGGAAUGAGUAGCGCGAAUGCAGUGAGAAUCUGCAUGGCCGAAAGCCUCAGGUUUCUGGAGGAAGGUUCGUCCGCUCCAGGUUAGUCGGGAGCUAAGGUGAGGCCGAAAGGCGUAGCCGAUGCACAGACGGUAGAGAUUCCGUCACCACCAAAAGAGUUAAGCACAGGGACACAUAUGAAGUCUCAGAGCCGGGUGUUGGUUCCGGUAGAGAUCGAGGGAAGUUAGUACCGAAGUCUGAGAUGGAAGAUGGCGAGAAAAGCUGUGUGUAUUUCUGAGGUGCCCGUACCGCAAACCGACACAGGUAGGUAGGAAGAAGAUUCUAAGGCCAACGGGAGAAGGGUUGUUAAGGAACUCGGCAAAUUGACCCCGUAACUUCGGGAGAAGGGGUGCUCCAGAGAUGGAGCCGCAGAGAAUCGGCCCAAGCAACUGUUUACCAAAAACACAGGUUUGUGCUAAAUCGAAAGAUGACGUAUACGAGCUGACGCCUGCCCGGUGCUGGAAGGUUAAGAGGAGAUGUGCAAGCAUUGAAUCGAAGCCCCAGUGAACGGCGGCCGUAACUAUAACGGUCCUAAGGUAGCGAAAUUCCUUGUCAGGUAAG
rnacentral:rRNA from 1 species